CCUACGGGGGGCUGCAGUGGGGAAUAUUGGACAAUGGGGGCAACCCUGAUCCAGCCAUGCCGCGUGUGUGAAGAAGGCCCUCGGGUUGUAAAGCACUUUCAGUGAGGAAGAACGCCUGGUGGUUAAUACCCAUCAGGAAAGACAUCACUCACAGAAGAAGCACCGGCUAACUCCGUGCCAGCAGCCGCGGUAAUACGGAGGGUGCGAGCGUUAAUCGGAAUUACUGAGCGUAAAGCGCGCGUAGGUGGCUUGAUAAGCCGGUUGUGAAAGCCCCGGGCUCAACCUGGGAACGGCAUCCGGAACUGUCAAGCUAGAGUGCAGGAGAGGAAGGUAGAAUUCCCGGUGUAGCGGUGAAAUGCGUAGAGAUCGGGAGGAAUAACAGUGGCGAAGGCGGCCUUCUGGACUGACACUGACACUGAGGUGCGAAAGCGUGGGUAGCAAACAGGAUUAGAUACCCCAGUAGUC
rnacentral:rRNA from 1 species